GGUGCUGGGCAUGAGUCCAGACUCUGCGCUCAGGACCCAACUAAUAAAGCCGACUCAGACCCACGGAGGGGCCAUGUCCUUGCACCUGGAGAGGCAGGCGUGCAGAGCCAGCCUCUGGGGCACAGGCACUGGUGGUCUCCCGAGGGGCAGUGGCCGCUGCGAGCCAUCGCCAACCAGCACUGCGGGCAAUGGAGAUGGUCAGAGCAGAGAGGAACGGGUGAGCGCAGCUGACAUCUCUGGAUGUGGGAUCAAUCUAUGGAUACCUAAGACUUAACUGGGAUAGUCAGAAUGUGUAUUUCUUGAUCUCAACAUUAUAUGAAUAAAGGUGCAACUGACCAAGUUUGGACACAACAUCAUGGAAUGCUGAGGCCGCCUCUGUCAUCCUAGGGAAACCCAGUCUGUGGUUAGAAACAAUGCAUGAGGAGGAUGAGCCGGAGAAUCUCUGAGAAGCAGG